rnacentral:rRNA from 1 species
AUUGAACGCUGGCGGCAUGCCUUACACAUGCAAGUCGAACGGCAGCACGGGUGCUUGCACCUGGUGGCGAGUGGCGAACGGGUGAGUAAUACAUCGGAACAUGUCCUGUAGUGGGGGAUAGCCCGGCGAAAGCCGGAUUAAUACCGCAUACGACCUACGGAUGAAAGCGGGGGACCUUCGGGCCUCGCGCUUUAGGGUUGGCCGAUGGCUGAUUAGCUAGUUGGUGGGGUAAAGGCCUACCAAGGCGACGAUCAGUAGCUGGUCUGAGAGGACGACCAGCCACACUGGGACUGAGACACGGCCCAGACUCCUACGGGAGGCAGCAGUGGGGAAUUUUGGACAAUGGGCGAAAGCCUGAUCCAGCAAUGCCGCGUGUGUGAAGAAGGCCUUCGGGUUGUAAAGCACUUUUGUCCGGAAAGAAAUCCUUGGCUCUAAUACAGUCGGGGGAUGACGGUACCGGAAGAAUAAGCACCGGCUAACUACGUG